AAUCAACGCUGGCGGCGUGCCUAACACAUGCAAGUCGAACGCGAAAGCCCCGCAAGGGGUAAGUAGAGUGGCAAACGGGUGAGUAACACGUGGGUGACCUGCCUUCGAGUGGGGGAUAACGUCCCGAAAGGGACGCUAAUACCGCAUGACAUCCUGCUUUUGAAAAAGCGGAGAUCAAAGCUGGGGAUCGCAAGACCUAGCGCUUGAAGAGGGGCCCGCGCCUGAUUAGCUAGUUGGUGAGGUAACGGCUCACCAAGGCGACGAGCAGUAUCCGGCCUGAGAGGGCGGACGGACACACUGGGACUGAGACACGGCCCAGACUCCUACGGGAGGCAGCAGUGGGGAAUUGUUCGCAAUGGGCGCAAGCCUGACGACGCAACGCCGCGUGGAGGACGAAGAUCUUCGGGUCGUAAACUCCUGUCGAGCGGGACGAACGCUUCGCGGAUGAAUAAUCCGCGGAAUUGACGGUACCGCUAAAGGAAGCCCCGGCUAACUCCGUG
rnacentral:rRNA from 1 species